CAGCAGGCGCGAAAACUUUACAAUGCGGGAAACCGCGAUAAGGGGACACCGAGUGCCAGCAUAUUAUGUUGGCUGUCCACAUGUGUAAACGGCAUGUGUUAGCAAGGGCCGGGCAAGACCGGUGCCAGCCGCCGCGGUAACACCGGCGGCCCGAGUGGUAAUCACUUUUAUUGGGUCUAAAGGGUCCGUAGCCGGUUUGAUCAGUUCUUCGGGAAAUCUGACAGCUCAACUGUUAGGCUUCCGGGGAAUACUGUCAGACUUGGGACCGGGAGAGGUAAGAGGUACUACAGGGGUAGGAGUGAAAUCUUGUAAUCCUGUGGGACCACCAGUGGCGAAGGCGUCUUACCAGAACGGGUCCGACGGUGAGGGACGAAAGC
rnacentral:rRNA from 1 species